CGUUUGCUAUCCUGUGUUGUGCGUGAGCAAAAACUCAGCCCAUUUGUGUCAAGCAGGUCCUGACUAGAUGCAGGAGAGGAGGAGAGGAUCCGUGCGAGCCCGGCAGAGCACCGGACGCUACUCUCGGAGCCUGCUGGGGGCUAGCGCAAGGAAGGGGCUGGUGAGCUCAAGCUCGCCGCCAGCCCUACUACGUGUGCCCUCUGGUCCCAGCAGCAGUGAGCACUCCUGGCAUCCUUCCCCUGGAGCACAGCAGGUCUGGAGAAGCCCCUCUUUUUCCGAACCCUAGGAGCUCCACCUCUGCAAAGCCAUUCCCAGGAAGACGUCUUGCUUUCCUUUUACGCUAAGGACACCAGUUUGGCUAGACCUUGAAACAGUGCUCGAAAUAGCGCGUUGCCCUUCUCUGAAGCGCCUUCCUGUUCUCUCUUCCUCUCAGCAUUAAAGAACUGUGCACAUUCACCGUGAUCCUGACAUUUUGUUUACUUACUAUUAUGUGAAAGAACCCAAUGAAGAAAAUGGUACUGGGAUUGAGUUCCAUAAAAAUAGGCACUUACUGCCGUUUUAGAUUCCCUGGGGUGUCCACCCGUGCCCUGAAA